rnacentral:rRNA from 1 species
GAUUAACGCUAGCGGCAGGCAUAAUACAUGCAAGUUGAACGGCAGCACAGGUAGCAAUACUGGGUGGCGAGUGGCGCACGGGUGCGUAACACGUAUGCAACCUACCCUAUACAGGCGAAUAACCUUUAGAAAUGAGGGCUAAUACGCCGUAGUAUUACAGAUGGGCAUCUAUUUGUAAUUAAAGAUUUAUCGGUAUAGGAUGGGCAUGCGUCCCAUUAGUUCGUUGGUAAGGUAACGGCUUACCAAGACGAUGAUGGGUAGGGGAUCUGAGAGGACUUACCCCCACACUGGUACUGAGACACGGACCAGACUCCUACGGGAGGCAGCAGUAAGGAAUAUUGGGCAAGGGCCGCGAGGCUGACCCAGCCAUGCCGCGUGCAGGAAGACGGCCUUAUGGGUUGUAAACUGCUUUUAUACGGGAAUAAUAGAGUGUACGCGUACAUUUAUGCAAGUAUCGUAUGAAUAAGCAUCGGCUAACUCCGUG